GACAGCAGCCGCCACGGUAAUACGUAGGGUGCAAGCGUUAAUCGGAAUUACUGGGCGUAAAGCGUGCGCAGGCGGUUUGUUAAGACAGAUGUGAAAUCCCCGGGCUCAACCUGGGAACUGCAUUUGUGACUGGCAAGCUAGAGUAUGGCGGAGGGGGGUGGAAUUCCGCGUGUAGCAGUGAAAUGCGUAGAUAUGCGGAGGAACACCGAUGGCGAAGGUAGCCCCCUGGGCCAAUACUGACGCUCAUGCACGAAAGCGUGGGGAGCAAACAGGAUUAGAUACCCCAGUAGUCCCUGUCUCUUAUAC
rnacentral:rRNA from 1 species